rnacentral:rRNA from 1 species
CGAGUCCGAGUCUCCACGGAGACGAAGUGGCGGUCAUCCAGCUUCCUAGAAAAGCUCUAACCACGUUAAUCUUUAGUUGCCUGUACCCGAAACCGACACAGGUAGGGGGGUAGAGAAUACCAAGGGGCGCGAGAUAACUCUCUCUAAGGAACUCGGCAAAAUGACCCCGUAACUUCGGGAGAAGGGGUACCACUGAGAAGUGGUCGCAGUGAAGAGGCCCAGGCGACUGUUUACCAAAACACAGGUCUCCGCCAAGUCGCAAGACGAAGUAUGGGGGCUGACGCCUGCCCAGUGCCGGAAGGUUAAGGAAGUGGGUUAGGGAUUCGUCCCGAAGCUGACGACUGAAGCCCCGGUGAACGGCGGCCGUAACUAUAACGGUCCUAAGGUAGCGAAAUUCCUUGUCGGGUAAGUUCCGACCCGCACGAAAGGCGUAACGAUCUGGGCGCUGUCUCGGAGAGAGGCUCGGCGAAAUAGAAUUGUCUGUGAAGAUGCGGACUACGUGCACCCGGACAGAAAGACCCUAUGAAGCUUUACUGUAGCUUGGAAUUGGGUUCGGGCUUGGUUUGCGCAGGAUAGGUGGGAGGCGAAGAAGAUUUGCUUGUGGGUGAAUCUGAGCCAACGGUGAGAUACCACUCUAACCAGGCUAGAAUUCUAACUUCAACCCGUCAACCGGGGGAAGGACAGUUUCAGGUGGGCAGUUUGACUGGGGCGGUCGCCUCCUAAAAGAUAACGGAGGCGCACAAAGGUUCCCUCAGGCUGGUUGGAAAUCAGCCAACGAGUGCAAAGGCAGAAGGGAGCUUGACUGCGAGACCUACAAGUCAAGCAGGGUGGAAACACGGUCUUAGUGAUCCGACGGCACCGAGUGGAAGGGCCGUCGCUCAACGGAUAAAAGUUACUCUAGGAUAACAGGCUGAUCUCCCCCAAGAGUUCACAUCGACGGGGAGGUUUGGCACCUCGAUGUCGGCUCAUCGCAACCUGGGGCGGAAGUACGUCCCAAGGGUUGGGCUGUUCGCCCAUUAAAGCGGUACGUGAGCUGGGUUCAGAACGUCGUGAGACAGUUCGGUCCAUAUCCGGUGUAGGCGCAAGAACAUUGAGAGGAGUCUUCCUUAGUACGAGAGGACCGGGAAGAACGCACCGCUGGUGUACCUGUUAUCGUGCCAACGGUAAACGCAGGGUAGCCAAGUGCGGAGUGGAUAACCGCUGAAAGCAUCUAAGUGGGAAGCCCACCUCAAGAUGAGUGUUCUCAUGGAGUAAUCCAGUAAGGUCACGGGAAGACGACCCGUUGAUAGGCGGUAGGUGGAAGUUCGGCAAUGGAUGAAGCCGAGCCGUACUAACAGACCGAGGGCUUGACC